rnacentral:rRNA from 1 species
AUUGAACGCUAGCGGCAUGCCUUACACAUGCAAGUCGAACGCCAGCGGGGGAGCUUGCUCCCGCCUGCGAGUUGCGAACGGGUGAGUAAUACAGCGGAACGUACCCAGUAGCGGGGGAUAGCCAGGCGAAAGCCGGAUUAAUCCCGCCUACGCCCAACGGGGGAAAGUGUGGGGUCGCAAGGCCUCCCACUAUUGGAGCGCCCUGUGGCUGAUUCGCUAGUUGGUGGGGUAAAGGCCUACCAAGGCGACGAUCAGUAGCUGGUCUGAGAGGACGACCAGCCACACUGGGACUGAGACACGGCCCAGACUCCUACGGGAGGCAGCAGUGGGGAAUUUUGGAAAAUGGGCGAAAGCCUGAUCCAGCAAUGCCGCGUGUGCGAAGAAGGCCUUCGGGUUGUAAAGCACUUUUGUCAGGGAAGAAAUCGUUUGGGCUAAUACCCCGAGCACUUGACGGUACCUGAAGAAUAAGCACCGGCUAACUACGUGCCAGCCGCCGCGGUAA